rnacentral:lncRNA from 1 species
AAUGCGAAAUUUGGUUUAAUGGGUUUACACAUUGGUAUAUGUGCGAUAUAUGGAUUAAUUAGAGAGCGGUUGGGUUCCGUCGCUAAUCCGUGACCAAAUCUGACAAAAUAAGAUUGUAGUUUUGAUGCCCCCGACGUGCUGAACGCAAUGGUGCUGUCGGAUCGAAAAUCCGACGGACGGAUCUCUGAUAAUUGCGAAGUUUGCGUUAAGAGGUCGAAGGUGGCAAUCCGGAAAAUUUGCGAAAGGCGCGACAUUUUAUGUACCGAAUUGCGUGAGAUCGGACGUGGAGGUAUGUACGCGCAAAUUGUACGCCCUGGCAGGGGCUGAGGUUUAAAUAUUCUGGGUUGGAGGGGUUUUCUGCAAUUAGUCCACUUGUAUAUAAUUAGCAUCUAGGGUUUCUUUGCACGAAACCCUAGAUCUAGCCGACCUUGUCUCCCAACUGUGCCCUAACCAGCUUCAGCAGGUCCCUGCCCAAACCUUGCGCGCACCUCGGCCGCCCGCAGGUGCCCCGGCCGCCGGAAAACUUGAAACCCGGCCACCCCUCCAACCUUCUUUCCCAACCAUCCCUGCCGUGGAACCAAUCUGGGUGACCAUAACCCUCGGGCACCACCUCUGGCAGCGGCCCCGACCUCCGCCGUCCCGCCGUGCCGGCCGCCGCCGUCCCCACGCACCGCCGUCGCGGCCUGGGCGCCCUGCAGCCGAGCCUGACCUAGCUCAGGCCGAGCCUGGCCUCGCACCGCCUCCACGAGCCGCCGUCGCCUUUGGACGACUAUGCCGCCUUCCCCGGCGUCGUCGCCGCCGGCCCCCGCCGGUCCCGUGCGUCGCCGGCGCCGUUUUGGCCCCUGCGGCCACUCGCGGCCAUGUCGGGCUGAGCUUGGGUGAUCCCUACCUCCGCGCGCCACCGCCGUUCCCCGCCAGCCGCGCGUCCUCCCACGGCCUCCGGCGACCUACCGCUCUCCACCACCCGCCAUCCCGGCUAUCCCCGUGGACCGCCGGCCGCCGCUCCUCCAUCCUGCGACCGCCCUGACCCAUGCGGGCCGUGGCCGAGUACCCUCGUCUUCCAAGCGCCGCCGCCGCCCACUGACGGGAGCACCACCUCCCCCUUGGCCUCCGCCGACAGACCGUCGCCAUCCCGAGCUCCUCCGGCCGCCGCCUUGCCGCCGGUGCCCUUGAACCCGAGAGGAGCUAGGCGGGUUGGAUCUCCACCGCCGCGCCACCGGCUGCCGUCCACCGCCGGCCAGUACCUUCCCCGGACCCCUUCGACCUGCCGCCCCCUUCCCCGGCCGGUGCGCACGCCGUCCGACAGCCGCCGGCCGUACCCUAGCUCCACCCUGUCCGGUAAGCUGUUUUUAGCCUGUUUGCGCACUAGUUUCCUGUUUGGAUGACUGUUCCGGCGACCCGGGGCUGUUCCGAUGCCUCCGGAGGUGAGCACGGUGAUCGUCAGUCAGUUCUUAUCACAAUGCUCCCCUCACUUAGGGUCAGCGAGCUCCGGAUGAGUUAAUUAGAUGCGUUUUAGUUCCAGUGCGCGCUGUUUCGUUGAACUUCGUGUCGCUCGUGCGCGACCCAUAGUGGCCGAAAUUGCUCUAAAAGGUGAGUAUGGCCUCCGGUAUGCUGAGACCUAUCAGCAGGUGUCUCGGUUUGGCUGAUUGACUUCUGGUUUGUGUAGAUGGACCAUAAAAGCGCCGAAAUCACAUAAAAUAAUGUGAUUUCGGGUAAUCGAGUGGGCUUUUAUGCAUUUUGGUUCGUCGUGGCUGCUGUUGGCAGCAUGGGUGAGCAGUGGGUGACCUCUGGACUGAUUGUCCAAGGCCCCAGACCUUUGCGAAGAUUGGAAAUGCAUUUUCGACGCGUUUUUCGGCGAAAUCCGCCGACGGAACGCGGGUUCGGUUCGGAAUUAUUCCGACGGUGCUUCGUGAGCUAUUGUGUAGUUGCUGAGUCUGGUUGGCUGGUCACUCGCAUCAUUUCGAGAGUUUAGACAUAACGGGUGAGCGACGGUGCGUUCCGAAGUCGAAAUUGACACUUUCGGGAACCCGGAUCGAAACGAUUAUCCGACGAUAAUUGUUUCGACGUGAGGAGCUGUGGUUGCCGCCAUGAUGCACGAUUAUUGAUGUUUAGUGGCAGCGGAUGACUCGUAGCACGAGUCGGUACGUUCCGGGACAGUCGUGGGUCCCGACGGAGUCUCGGUGCGAUUUCGGGACUUCCGACGAGUUACGGUAAUCGGUUUUGGGAAACCGAUAUCCGUGGGUUUUAGUUUGUGGGGUUGUAGAUUCAGUGUUUAUUGUUUGUAGGUUGGACACUAACCCAGUGGACCCUCCUUAGGUCCGGUUGACGUUCUUUUGCAGUCAGGAGACAGGUGCGACACAUGUACAGGUGGGUACUUCGAUCCGAUGUCGGUACAGUGGUGCACGCUCGGUGAUGGUUUCUUACCUUUGUUCUCUUGUUAUUAUCUGGCAUAUAUAUAUUUUGAUAUAUAGUGUUGAGCCUAGCACCCACGUUGUUUGGUUAUAGUCUACUCAGAUGUUUCCAUGCUUAGUAUCAUGUGUAGGAGUAUAGUCUAUCUGUAUGUGAUACCAUGUUUUCUUGUUGCUCUACUUAGCUAUCCUGCAUAUCCUGUUUCAUGUUUAGAGUAGAGCGGUUUCGUGAUUUCCUGUGAGAUCGGUGACCUAGUCGGUCGGUUCCUUGACUUCUGUCGUUUGAUGACCUUUGAGGUCGGUGUACCCUGAGGGGUCGGAUUGUCGGCUAGUGGCCGACGGUAGUUCUAGAUUAUAUACUCAGAUGACUUGUUGAUCGAUUCUUGCAUAUAUACAGUAGUUGACUUAUUGAUCAGUAUCUACAUACUUUUGGUAGGAUGUUGAGUUGUUCCAUCCCAGUUGACUUGAUUAGUCAGUGCUUACAUACAGUUGAGAGGAUGUCGAUGUUGUCCCAUCCUAGUUGACCUGAGUGGUUGGUUCUUGUGCUUCCUUACAGUUGAUGGCCUAUACGGUCAGUGUGCCCUGAGGGGUUGGAUUGUCAGUUAGUUGCCGAUGGAAGAUCUUUGAGCAUACUAUAUUGAUCGCCACUGCAGGUACGCAUUUCACGAACACCAACGGUCUGAUCCACCGCAAGAGGGUGUUCUUUUCCGGAAAAGUGGUUGGAUUGCCAACCCGUGAGCCCAGGGGCUUUAUUGCGAGGGUAUAUGCUUCUGACCCAGGGGCUUCAUUGCAAGGGUCAGGUACAGGGUGAGUAGUAGUGGCACAGGCUUGAGGUUCAGGUGCGAACCAACAGAGCAGCAGAUUUCAGAUUGGGUAUUUUUGGUCUUUACAUCCAGUUGACGCAUAUGCCUAUAGUUGCAGUUGUUGCAUGCAUACUUACAGUUCUUGCUUUAUAAUUGUCUUGCUACUAUAGUAGAUAUUCAUGUAUGCUUUCUGUUCCAGUUAUAAUAGCGGUAGCCGUUAUUCAGUCUAGUUCCUACUUUCUUUCAGUUUAUUGCUACUGUAUUUAGUAUAUCUGCUCAUUACCUUAUACAUCUCUUUCGUUUACUAUUGUUCCUACUAUAUUUCCACUGACCCGUGUUGUUGUAUAGCUUUUCCUGAUUCGGUGAGUACUCCUCGCCUUCUUCGGCUUACGGUACCCACUGGGAGGGGAGACAUGUUUACAUGUUCUCACCUCCCCCACUAUUUUUCAGGUAUCGCGGGCGGUGAGGGUUGAGACGAGACGUGAGACAGGUACGUAGCGGUCGAUAGAUCUUCCGACCCAGGUUGUUCGGUUUAGCUCUUACCCUUUUUAUUUCUGUUGAUAUAUAGCUUAGAUAGUUUAUAUGGUUCAGUAUUUUUAUUACAUUUGAAUAUGUGGAUUUUCAUGAAUGUAAUAAAAGGAUUUCUGGAUUUUGUAAAAUAAAGGUUUUCUACCCCUCGUGGUAGCGUUUUUAAAGAAUAAAGGUUUCCGUGUAGGAAACAAUUUUCAAAAGAAUUUUUCGUGGAUUUCUGUUUAAAUAUUGAAUGUAAAACUGUGAUGUGAAUGAUGAAUGUAUGAAUGUGUAGUGAUCUUUAUAUUCAUCUAGUUGUGGUUGUAUCCUGGUUGUAUUCUUGUACUUGUGCGACGCCGUGCAAAUACAGGGGAGACUCUGUCCGUGUGAACAGUGGAUCUCCUGUAUUUGUGGCGGAUCUGGCAUACUCUGGGGUUAGGUUUUUUUUAAAAAAAAAAAGAAAAAAAAAGAAAAAAAAUUUUCAGACGCCUUUCCGCUAUGCUUUAAACUAAAAAGGGACCCAGGGCGUGACAGAUUAAAGUGGUAUCAGAGCCAAGUUACAACCACGACACCAUUCACAGGUUGUUUUGAAAAGUAAAUGAACUGAACCAAAUAAACUAAACCAUUGGUUAGGUCGACCAAUAGGAAGACUACGAUGUAUAGGCAUGUGAGUGCGAGGUUUGGACUUGUGUCCUGGGUUGCAUUCGAGUUGGGUAAACUCGAAGUGCAUGGUGUUUCUGUAUGCGUUACGGUUCGCACAAGCUGGUGUCUAAGUCGGGAGUAGUGGCGAUGUACUUAUACGAGUGGUGGGGCGACGUUCCCCAGGUGUUGCCAAUCCUGUCUGGUGGGGCCUUGAAGGGCGAGUGAUUUUCGGGCCUAGGCGAGUGUCAUAACUGCCGACGCGCAGGCCAUUCUCUCUACUUAGGACACGAGAGCUGUUGCGAGUGUCUCUACGGAGACGGCACUGUGAUCAGUUACGAUCGUGACUUCAGUGGGGCUAUUAGGGUGUAGCCCAUGGCUAUGGUAGCAGUCGUUUAGGCAACUGCAUUGUUAGUGUUGCUUCUGUAGAUCUUUGGGUAGGGUUGUAAUGCCUAUCGAUCCUCCUUGAUUGCUGAUUGGAAUCAGCGGAUCGGGUCUUUUGACCUUUACCUCGUUCAUUCUUCCUACCAGAGUCGUAUUGACACAGUUUUGGUGUCAGGUCCCUGUUGAUGCAUACAUCGUAUGCGAUUAUUCUAACACCUAAAUUGGUGUGUUGUGGGUUAGUUUGUGGUUGGUGAUAGGUUUUGUCUUGAUUUGAGAGACUCCAGGUUAUUGUCGGAAUUCUUGGAGCUUUGACUAUAGCUCGGUUGAGGUGCGAAAAUCGGUUAGAGAAACUGUUUCCUGAAGCCUCAAUUGGUACUGUUCGCAGCUUGUGUCGCUAGCAGCUAUCAGAUGUUGAAAGUUAUAGGACUCCCUGUGGGUUGGUUCAGGGUCGUUCUGAUUUCGAAUGUCGACUUGUAAAGUUGAUGUUUUGAUAGUAAUGGUUGUGAACUCUUGGUUCAGUGAAGAGGUAUUAGGUGGCUUGAUACUUCGAUGUGUCGCGCUUCCAACUUGUUGUUGGUAGUAGAUCUUCGGAUAUUUCGCUUUCUUUUGAUAAGUACAUUGGCUACAGACAAUGUACUGUCGAAAGAUAGGAUGAAAUACCCUUUUUCCCUGUUUGGGACUUUUGGAUUGGGUGCUUGUACCUGUUACAACUAAAAGGUUUGUUUGGUUAUUUAGUAGUCUCGGUCGGUUGUCGAGAGGUUCGGAAUCACAAUUGUGGAGUGACUUGAACCUGGUUGUUGGCUUUAAUUGUCACCGUAGGUGAUAGCGUAUAAGGUUUGCGACUCGGCUUGUCGUGCAAAAUCUUGGAAUUGUAUGCUUGUCCGGAUAAUUGGUGACAGGUGCGCCAGGGUCUCUAUGAGAGAGGCAUUUGGUGUUGGUCGGAACAUCGAUCGCUAGGGUCUAUGGUAGGACGGCAGCAACAGGGUCUUGUGGAGACAGGUGUUGAGCAUCACCGAUGGUUAGUAUUGCAUUUACGAUUGGUGACCUGUGCAUCAAGUGAUGGACUUGCAAGAGCUUUUGGUAGUCUGUUGGUACCGGAUUAAGUUUGAGAAGAUAGUGUCUAGCUCGAUUGGUAUUGUCAGUUGGAUCUUUUGGUCAGGUGGAAAGUGAGGUCUUGGACCUAGGACUAUAGAUUGUCGCAGGUGACUUUCCGUUGAUGAGGUUUUGACAGUUUGUGUGGUUACUGGUGGAGAUUGUGGUCUCCGAUGUGAGUGAUUUUGACUCGGAUUUUAAAACAACGUUUCGGAUUCGCUCGUGGUGAGCAGAUUGAUGUUGUUGGAUAGUUGGAGUUUUUUUUGUUUCAGUCUACGUAAAUAGACUCUAGAUUAAGUGGUUGUCUCGUGACUUUUCUACGUGAACUCGCGACGUAGUCGAGUUGGUUACGGCUAUGCGGACCAAGGUAGAGUGGACCUAAAUUUCUGAAUGUUGAUUAAUUAUCUCAGGAUUGGCAAUUUGGGAUCGGAUAAUCCUUGUCGCGGGACUAUUUUUGUCCGCAGGUUAUAGGAUGGUGUUAAUCCCGGUGAGUUUUGGUCAUAGAUUUUGGGUUGGUACGUUUUUCCCUCGUUUUUGUCCGAGUGGAACCAUAGUCCUAUUCUUCCCUUAUUCGGAGAUUGAUCUGUCCAAAUUCAUGGAAAUGUAAUAGACCAAUACUCAAAGGUGAUACCACAGUGGUGGAAGUUAUAUCCAAAUCCGAUUUCGGUGGGUAUGUGGUCAAGUUUUGGGGACGAAACUUCUUUUAAGGGGGGAUAAUGUAAGGACUGAGAUUUUUACAGUGCAAAUAAACUCUCUGUUGAUAAUGUUUAUGUGUGUAAUUUAAUUACAUAAGCACUUGUCAAGUUUCAGGAGAAAAUGAGCUAGAACGGAGAAGUUACGCGAUUAAAACUAAUCACUUAAAGUGAAUAGUAACUCCGGUUUUCCGGAUAAGCCACGGAGUAGAGUUGGCUUUCGGCGCGUAUCGGACUUCAUUCAUAGCGAUCCAAUAGCUCGUUUCGAUCGGUUCAGCUAUUCUAGAACCAAUGGCACUGACGGAUUUCAGAUCUGAUGCACGGUUUUCGAGAAAAAGGAGUUUUACAAAAAAGAGGGUUUCCGCUUUUUGCUUUUCUGUGCAUUCUAAAGCUUCUCGUACUCCGUGCUUGUGACUUGGAGUAGGGUGAAGAAUGUUUCGAGUCCCUACUAGUGGUAGGGAAGUCAAUUUCUAAUGCGAAAGUUGGUUUAAUGGGUUUACACAUUGGUAUAUGUGCGAUAUAUGGAUUAAUUAGAGAGCAGUUGGGUUCCGUCGCGAAUCCGUGACUAAAUCUGACGAAAUAAGAUUGUAGUUUUGAUGCCCCCGACGUGCUGAACGCAAUGGUGCUGUCGGAUCGAAAAUCUGACGGACGGAUCUCUGAUAAUUGCGAAGUUUGCGUUAAGAGGUCGAAGGUGGCAAUUCGGAAAAUUCGCGAAAGGCGCGACAUUUUAUGUACCGAAUCGCGUGAGAUCGGCCGUGGAGGUAUGUACGCGCAAAUUGUACGCCCUGGCAGGGGCUGAGGUUUAAAUAUUCUGGGUUGGAGGGGUUUUCUA